AUUGAACGCUGGCGGCAUGCCUUACACAUGCAAGUCGAACGGCAGCACGGGUGCUUGCACCUGGUGGCGAGUGGCGAACGGGUGAGUAAUACAUCGGAACAUGUCCUGUAGUGGGGGAUAGCCCGGCGAAAGCCGGAUUAAUACCGCAUACGAUCUACGGAUGAAAGCGGGGGACCUUCGGGCCUCGCGCUAUAGGGUUGGCCGAUGGCUGCUUAGCUAGUUGGUGGGGUAAAGGCCUACCAAGGCGACGAUCAGUAGCUGGUCUGAGAGGACGACCAGCCACACUGGGACUGAGACACGGCCCAGACGCCUACGGGAGGCAGCAGUGGGGAAUUUUGGACAAUGGGCGAAAGCCUGAUCCAGCAAUGCCGCGUGUGUGAAGAAGGCCUUCGGGUUGUAAAGCACUUUUGUCCGGAAAGAAAUCCUUGGCCCUAAUACGGUCGGGGGAUGACGGUACCGGAAGAAUAAGCACCGGCUAACUACGUG
rnacentral:rRNA from 1 species